AGUGAACGCUGGCGGUAGGCCUAACACAUGCAAGUCGAACGGCAGCACAGUAAGAGCUUGCUCUUACGGGUGGCGAGUGGCGGACGGGUGAGGAAUACAUCGGAAUCUACUUUUUCGUGGGGGAUAACGCAGGGAAACUUACGCUAAUACCGCAUACGACCUACGGGUGAAAGCAGGGGAUCUUCGGUCCUUGCGCGAUUGAAUGAGCCGAUGUCGGAUUAGCUAGUUGGCGGGGUAAAGGCCCACCAAGGCGACGAUCCGUAGCUGGUCUGAGAGGAUGAUCAGCCACACUGGAACUGAGACACGGUCCAGACUCCUACGGGAGGCAGCAGUGGGGAAUAUUGGACAAUGGGCGCAAGCCUGAUCCAGCCAUACCGCGUGGGUGAAGAAGGCCUUCGGGUUGUAAAGCCCUUUUGUUGGGAAAGAAAAGCAGCAGGUUAAUACCCCGCUGUUCUGACGGUACCCAAAGAAUAAGCACCGGCUAACUUCGUG
rnacentral:rRNA from 1 species